UGCUUUUCUGCCACUAUAAAUUGUUAAGCGGGACCCCACAAGUGAUCAGUAUACAGAAGAACAUUAAAUCAGACUUGAUAUUUACAAUGAUGAAAAUAAUUUGUCUAAUUCUUUGCUGGACAUUUACAACUGCUUUUGCAAAACCACCAAGUUGGUAUCCCGAAAAUAUCUAUGAGAUAAGAGACAAAUGUGUGGAAGAAACUCAAUUACCAAACAGCUUGGAUGUGAAAAAUGGACCGAUUGAUAAUCCCAUAGUACACAAAUAUGCACUGUGCAUGGCUAAAGGUACUAAUGUUUACAAUGAGGACACGGGCCUAAAUAUUGAUCGUUUGGCCUAUAGUUUUUAUCGAUCAAAAAGCAUGUUAAAUAGUAAAAAGCUUUUGGUGCAGGAUUGUGUUGACAAAAACAAGGAAGCUUCCUCUGAUGGAGAAAUGAUUUCUAAAGUGAUAACCUGCAUUAUUGAUAAGGAAAAUGAAAAGGAUGACUAGUUCUAGUAAUUAAGUGCAGUUAUUUUUAUUAUAUUAUACGAGUAUGUCAAUGAAAUUUAUUGUAGUUUUUAUAUAUACAUAGUUAGUAGCUUUUAUUAACCAUAUAAGGCCCCUAAGGGCUCGGUUAUAUAAAUGAAGAAUUAAUAAAAAAAAAUAAUACGAUUA